UACGGUGAAUAGUUCCGGACCUUGCANACACCGCCCGUCAAGCCAUGGAAGCCGGGUGUACCUAAAGUCGGUAACCGUAAGGAGCCGCCUAGGGUAAAACUGGUGACUGGGGCU
rnacentral:rRNA from 1 species